GCCGGGCUUGGUGGAGCGUGCCUGUAGUCCCAGCUACUCGGGAGGCUGAGGCUGGAGGAUCGCCUGAGCCCAGGAGUUCUGGGCUGCAGUGCGCUGUGCCGAUCAGGUGUCCGCACUGAGUUCAGCAUCAAUAUGGUGACCCUCUGGGAGCGGGGGACCACCAGGUUGCCUAAGGAGGGGUGAACCGGCCCAGGUCGGAAAUGGAGCAGGUCAAAAAUCAAGAAGUUAAAAAAGAAAAAGAAUUUUAAAAACAAAAUGUUAUAAGUGCUUUCCUUCAGAUCUAGACAAAAAAGUCACUAAGAUUUAA
ensembl:misc_RNA Metazoa_SRP Metazoan signal recognition particle RNA